rnacentral:rRNA from 1 species
CACGUAGGAGCCAAGCGUUAUCCGAAUUCACUGGGCGUAAAGCGCGUGUAGGCGGCUCGGUAAGUUGGAUGUGAAAUCUCCUGGCUCAACUGGGAGAGGACGUUCAAUACUGUCGGGCUAGAGGACGGCAGAGGGAGGUGGAAUUCCCGGUGUAGUGGUGAAAUGCGUAGAUAUCGGGAGGAACACCAGUGGCGAAGGCGGCCUUCUGGGCCGAACCUGACGCUCAGACGCGAAAGCUAGGGGAGCGAACGGGAUUAGAAACCCCGGUAGUCCUAGCUGUAAACGAUGUAGACUUGGUGUAGGUGGUGUAAAAGCUAUCUGUGCCGAAGCCAACGCGAUAAGUCUACCGCCUGGGGACUACGGCCGCAAGGUUAAA